rnacentral:rRNA from 1 species
GGGCGCAGCUGAUCCAGCCAUGCCGCGUGAGUGAGAAGGCCUUCGGGUUGUAAAGCUCUUUUGUUAGGGAGAAAGGGUGGGGGCUUGUACCGUUGGCCCCUGACGGUUCCUUGACAAAAGCGCGGCUAACUACAUGCCCGCAGCCGCGGUAAUACGUAGGGUGCAAGCGUUAAUCGGAAUUACUGGGCGUAAAGCGUGCGCAGG